rfam:Acetivibrio ethanolgignens strain ACET-33324 ACET-33324.Scaf78, whole genome shotgun sequence.
UUCUACCUUUCGCAAUGUAGGACAAAAAACAUUGUAUUUUGUUUCAAAAAUGUUUCGCAAUGUGCAACAAGCAACAUUGUAUUAUGACACAAUUCCCUUUCGCAAUGUAGGACAAAAAACAUUGU